GUGGGGAAUCUUGCGCAAUGGGCGAAAGCCUGACGCAGCCAUGCCGCGUGAAUGAUGAAGGUCUUAGGAUUGUAAAAUUCUUUCACCGGGGACGAUAAUGACGGUACCCGGAGAAGAAGCUCCGGCUAACUUCGUGCCAGCAGCCGCGGUAAUACGAAGGGGGCUAGCGUUGCUCGGAAUUACUGGGCGUAAAGGGCGCGUAGGCGGACAGCUUAGUCAGGGGUGAAAGCCCAGGGCUCAACCGUGGAAUUGCGUUUGAUACUGGCUGUCUUGGGGUUGGGAGAGGUGAGUGGAACUACGAGUGUAGAGGUGAAAUUCGUAGAUAUUCGGAAGAACACCAGUGGCGAAGGCGACUCACUGGCCCAAUACUGACGCUGAGGCGCGAAAGCGUGGGGAGCAAACAGGAUUAGAUACCCUGGUAGUCC
rnacentral:rRNA from 1 species